UACAGAGGGCGCGAGCGUUGUCCGGAAUCACUGGGCGUAAAGGGCGCGUAGGCGGCGUGACAAGUCACUUGUGAAAUCUCCGGGCUUAACUCGGAACGGUCAAGUGAUACUGUCGUGCUAGAGUACAGAAGGGGCAACUGGAAUUCUCGGUGUAGCGGUGAAAUGCGUAGAUAUCGAGAGGAACACCUGCGGCGAAGGCGGGUUGCUGGGCUGAUACUGACGCUGAGGCGCGAAAGCCAGGGGAGCGAACGGG
rnacentral:rRNA from 1 species